CCUACGGGCGGCAGCAGUGAGGAAUAUUGGUCAAUGGGCGUAAGCCUGAACCAGCCAAGUAGCGUGCAGGAUGACGGCCCUAUGGAUUGUAAACCGCUUUUAUACGGGAAUAAAGUGCCUUACGUGUAGCGUUUUGCAUGUACCGUAUGAAUAAGGAUCGGCUAACUCCGUGCCAGCAGCCGCGGUAAUACGGAGGGUCCGGGCGUUAUCCGGAUUUAUUGGGUUUAAAGGGUGCGUAGGCGGCCUUUUAAGUGAGCUGUGAAAGUUUGUGGCUCAACCCUGGACUUGCCGGGGAAACUGGGAGGCUUGAGUAUGUGUGAGGCAGGCGGAAUGCGUGGUGUAGCGGUGAAAUGCUUAGAUAUGACGAAGAACCCCGAUUGCGAAGGCAGCUUGCUACGGCAGGACUGACGCUGAUGCUCGAAAGCGUGGGUAUCGAACAGGAUUAGAUACCCCUGUAGUC
rnacentral:rRNA from 1 species